rnacentral:rRNA from 1 species
GACGAACGCUGGCGGCGUGCCUAAUACAUGCAAGUCGAGCGCAGGAAAUCGACGGAACCCUUCGGGGGGAAGUCGACGGAAUGAGCGGCGGACGGGUGAGUAACACGUAAAGAACCUGCCCUCAGGUCUGGGAUAACCACGAGAAAUCGGGGCUAAUACCGGAUGGGUCAUCGGACCGCAUGGUCCGCGGAUGAAAGGCGCUCCGGCGCCGCCUGGGGAUGGCUUUGCGGUGCAUUAGCUAGUUGGUGGGGUAAUGGCCCACCAAGGCGACGAUGCAUAGCCGACCUGAGAGGGUGAUCGGCCACACUGGGACUGAGACACGGCCCAGACUCCUACGGGAAGCAGCAGUAGGGAAUCUUCCACAAUGGACGAAAGUCUGAUGGAGCAACGCCGCGUGAACGAUGAAGGCCUUCGGGUCGUAAAGUUCUGUUGUAAGGGAAGAACAAGUGCCGCAGGCAAUGGCGGCACCUUGACGGUACCUUGCGAGAAAGCCACGGCUAACUACGUGCCAGCCGCCGCGGUAACAC